rnacentral:ncRNA from 1 species
CACACGGUUUGGUCCUAGCCUCAGUAUUAUUUUUAACAAAACUUACACAUGCAAGUUUCCGCAUCCCAGUGAGAUUGCCCCUACUCAUCCUUUAAGAAAACAGGGAGCAGGUAUCAGGCACACACUAGUAGCCCAAAACACCUUGCUCAGCCACACCCCCAAGGGAAUUCAGCAGUGAUUAAUAUUAGCAAAUAAACGAAAGUUUGACCUAGUUACAGUUACACAGAGUCGGCCAAUCUCGUGCCAGCCGCCGCGGUUAUACGAGCGACCCAAAUUAAUAAAAAAACGGCGUAAAGAGUGCAUAAGAAAAACCUUAUAUUGUUAAAACUGAAGUAGUGCUUAACUGUUAUACGUAUCCGCACCCAUGAAAAACAAUCACGAAAGUAAUUUUAUAAAAAAGAGGCCUCUUAAAACACGAUAGCUAAAGAACAAACUGGGAUUAGAUACCCCACUAUGUUUAGCCUUAAACCUAAGUAUUUACUUACCCAAAUACCCGCCAGAGAACUACAAGCGCCAGCUUGAAACCCAAAGGACUUGGCGGUGCCUUAGACCCCCCUAGAGGAGCCUGUUCUAGAACCGAUAAUCCCCGUUCAACCUCACCAUCUCUUGAUAUUACAGCCUAUAUACCGCCGUCGCCAGCUUGCCCUAUGAGGGAUAAACAGCAAGCAAAAAGAAUUGACCUUCAAAACGUCAGGUCGAGGUGUAGCUUAUGAGGUGGGAAGAAAUGAGCUACAUUUUCUACCAAGAUCAACAGAUAAAUAAUGAAAUCAAAAUUGAAGCUGGAUUUAGUAGUAAGAAAUAAAUAGUAUAUUAAUCUGAAAAUGGCUCUAAGGCGCGCACACACCGCCCGUCACUCUCCUCAAUUGACCCCUAAAAUACCUAAUAACUCUUCUAAACAUAGAGGAGGCAAGUCGUAACAUGGUAAGUGUACUGGAAAGUGCACUUGGAAU